rnacentral:rRNA from 1 species
GGCUAACGCUGGCGGCGUGUCUUAGCCAUGCAAGUCGAGCGGACUUAUGGGGUAACUUAUAAGUCAGCGGCGGACGGCGGAGUAACACGUAGCUAACCUACCCUCUGGACGGGGAUAACCUACCGAAAGGUUGGGCUAAUACCCGAUGUAGUCAUCCUGUAUAGGGGUGAUGAAAGGUGGGCUUCUGUUUACAAGCUCAUGCUGGAGGAGGGGGCUGCGGCCUAUCAGGUAGUUGGUAGGGUAAUAGCCUACCAAGCCGAUGACGGGUAGCCGGCCUGAGAGGGUGACCGGCCCGAGGGGCACUGAGAUACGGGUCCCACUCCUACGGGAGGCAGCAGGCUAGAAAUUUGGGCAAUGGGGGAAACCCUGACCCAGUGACGCCGCGUGCAGGAAGGAGCCCUUCGGGGUGUAAACUGCUGUCGUGUAGGGAGAAGGGUACUAAGGUGAACAAUCUUAGUACUUGACGGUACUACAGGAGGAAGCCCAGGCUAACCUCGUG